rnacentral:tRNA from 1 species
AAGUAAAAAGCUAUUAAGCAUCUAACUUCGACCUAGAUAAUAGAUCUGUAAAAUCUUUACUUC